GAUCCUGCCCACAAAGCUUAAAAUCUAUGUUUGCAAUUAAAAGUGAAGCAUACAAAUGUUGAUUGAGAAGAAAGUAACAGGAAAAAAAAGCAAUUUCUGCCGGAGAAAAGUAGCCUGUCUUUGAUGUCUUCUGUAAAAUGUAUGGUAAGGGCUUUCAUGGGCACUGCAGUAAAACUGGGUCUUCUGCUUUCUUUUUUUCUUUUUUUUUUUUUUUUAAAGAAGAUUUCAUUACAUAUGUUUUCAGAGAACUUCCUGCCUGUGUGAGAAUACUACGUUGUGUGUGGGAAGAUGAAGCAUUUGCUGGCGACAGGUAGCGUUCCACAUCACAUUGACACAGUGCAAUUAGUCCUGAAAGUUAAAUGAUGCUGUGAAAAAGAAGGCUGGCGAGUGAUACAAAGAAGCUUCUGCAGUGUCCCAGGAAGAGAGGCACUACCCCGAGUGGGCGUCUGUGGAGCAGCCCGGGUACCUUCCCAAGUGUUCUGAUGUGAACCUGUAGACUGAACACAAGAUUACUCAGGAGUUCAGAUUUAAAUGCUAAUUUUUGUUUAAAGAUAAACAAUAGUAAUUACUACUAAUUGCAUGUGUACAGUUCUUCUUACCCAGCAAGUGCAUAGCACUUUACAAAUAUUGGUGGAGUCAGUCUUGUAGUGCCAAGAAAAUGUAAGCAAGCAUAAAUUUGGGCACUCGGCGUGAAACAAAUCUGGUAAUACAUGUGUGUAAUGAAA